AAUGAUGGUCAGCCUUUGGAGUUCAGUUCUGGAGAGGGGCUGGUGAGUUAUCCAUCUUAAAGGUUGAAAAAUCCAAGUGAAGCUCAAUUUUUUAAAUUUAAUUUGUAGAAUUUGGUGGGGAUAUAUACCAAAUUGGUGUAUCAAUGUUAAUUAUUCUUGGCCUUGUUGAGCAGAAACUUUGAUUUUGAUGUUUUUUUGCUGCAUUUUUAAUUCCGUGGGGCUCUGUUUUGUGUUAUAGGUGCCUGAGGGAUUUGAAAUGUGCGUUCGCUUGAUGCUGCCGGGAGAGAUAGCUCUUGUCACAUGCCCUCCUGAUUAUGCUUAUGACAAAUUUCUGAGGUUAUAAUUCGAUUCCAGUUGAUCCUCGAUCUAAUGGAACUUGUAAUCAUUUUUUUCUUCGUCCCCAUACCAUGUUAUUUUUAUAUUUUUUCCCCUCCCAUAAAUUAGGCCAGCUAAUGUUCCUGAAGGUGCUCAUAUUCAAUGGGAGAUUGAACUUCUUGGUUUUGAGAAGCCGAAGGUAAUCAGCUACUUAUAUUCCAGUGUUUCGUAUAUGGAAAAUGCUUUUGAGAAUAGAAAGGUUAAAAAGAAUCACUCUAAUUGGUAUGAGUACUAAUUAGGACUAGAUUGAAUUAUGAUUGCUUUGAUAAUACUCUUUUGCCUUGUCUAUAAAGCUUAGAUGUAUUACGUUGUGACUGAGAUUUUAUCUUUACUGGCUUUAACAUCUCUACCCAUGUUAACUUCAUUGAAAUAAACACUUUUUUGAUGAAUGAUUUAAAUCUUUAUGUCAGGACUGGACUGGUUUGAGCUUUGAUGGUAUAAUGGAUGAAGCAGAAAAGAUUAGAGUCACGGUAUGUACUUUAGGACCAUUUAUCUACUUUAUGAUGAUCUCAGAUUGCUCGACAUAUGUAUGACAAUUUUGUGUAUGUUGUAUGUGUGUGUGCAUUUUAAUUCUUGUAGAGGAGUUUCAAUGUUACAAAUUGGUGAGUCUGUCUUAACUUUAUUUGUGCCAUACAUGCUGAAGUUGGAGGCAGUAAUGGUUGGUUUGCAAAUUUUGAGACGCUGAUGUUACUAUUUAUCUUCAGGGUAAUAGGCUUUUCAAAGAAGGGAAGUUUGAACUUGCAAAGGCAAAGUAUGAGAAGGUAAUAUUUUCAGUCCUGAAAAUAGCUUGUGGUUGAGUACUUUUUGGACUCGACUAUUCUGUCCCAAGUGUAUUUUGUUUAGCAUUGUUACAUAGUUAGAAUUUCAACAAAGUCAACCAGUUCUUUUGGUUGAAGCCAUGGACUGCUAGUUCUAGAAAUCUGUAACAACAUGUCAGUGGGCCGGCACUGUUCUACAACUGAAUAAUCUGUUUUGCAACAAAGGAAAAAUCUUGAUUUUUAGUUGUUUACUACUAUGGAUAGAGAGCGGGUUUUGUUUUCUGGUUAUCUUGGUGCUUUUAAAAUUGUUGUCUUCUUGAUGUUAUGGCCCAGCUCAAAGAUUUCUGAUUGCUUCCAUAACGAAUUUAUGAUAUGUUGAUGUUUGUCUAUGGUGCAGUAAGUGCAUUUUCUAUGCAAUACAAUUAUAAUAUAUCUAUUUUGCUUUUCAUCAAGUUUUUAUCUAAUGCCACUUGGUGACUACUACACAGGUGCUUCGAGACUUUAAUCAUGUUAACCCGCAAGACGAUGAGGAAGGGAAAGUGUUUGUAGGCAAAAGAGUAUGUUUGUUUUCCUCUGUUGAUCCUGAGAAUAUACAUCUUUACUCAUGUUCGUUGUUAUUGAGAUGUCUAAUCUUUAUGCUGCUCUUCUUCCUAAUUUGGAUCAAUUUCGCUCCCUGUUUGAUUGUGUGAAGAAUUUGUUGCAUCUGAAUGUAGCUGCAUGCUUGCUCAAAUUGGGAGAAUGCAGAAAGUCCAUCGAGGCAUGCAAUAAGGUGUGUUGUUCUACUUGGAUUUCAAGUUGUUUCACCCCUUUCAAUCCUGAUCUAGCAGUUGCUUUUCUUUGGUUUAUCAGUGACCUAUUUAUCUUAUGAUUGGCUUAAUCUGAUAAUCAUCUAUGCUGUCUGUGUUGAUACUUUUUCUAGCCGAGAUUUGUCGUGAUUAUAUGGAGUUGUUCCAAGAUGUUUUCAUUCAAUUUUUAAACUGAAAUAUAAUAUCAGCUGUCAAGUAGCCAUAAUUGAUUGAGUAGCUGGGCCCCCUUGACUGAGAUUUAAAUUUUCAUAACUCUUGAAAGCUUCUUGUCGGAUCCUCUGUUCUUGUGGACUGCCUGAGUGAGUGGUCUCAGGGUCAUUCUCAAAUGUGGGUACUGAAAUGGAAUUACAGAGUCUUGGGUAAAGUAUGCUGAUGUUUACCACCAUCAUUUAAAAUUAUCCUACAGUAUGCUUGAUGUUUACCACCAUUGUUUAAAAUUAUCCUCCAUUGCUAUUAACAUGUGAAUGAGAUGAAUAUGGAGUAAUUUCGGAAGAUUUUACCUUAAACAGUGUAUAUUACUGUAAACUUGUCAGAUGUAGGCUAUCUUGUGCUGUUCUGUCAGGAUGGUUUGAGUAAUUGAUCUAGCACUAUAGUCUGUUCUUUGAGUUCAAAUCUUUAAAGGUACUCCUGGUGGAUUUGUGCAGGUCUUAGAUGCUAAUCCUGCUCAUGUAAAGGGUCUCUAUCGCCGUGGAAUGGCCUACAUGGCUCUUGGAGAAUUUGAGGAAGCUCAGAGGGAUUUCGAAAUGGUAAUUCUGAUAUGAUAUUUUGGAGUUGAUAGCUGGAUUUACAAUAUUCUGGGUGCUUCUUGGUGGUAAAAUCUUUUGGGUUGUACAUGAAAUCUGGGAUUCGAACCCACUCACAUGGGUGGGAACUGGGAAGUGGUUCGGUGGUUAUGCAUGCAAUAUUUUAUUUAGGGGAAAAAAUGAUUUCUGAUAUCCAUUUCUAAAAUUCUCAAUUCAAUUGGUUGCUGUUAGAUGAUGAAAGUUGACAAGUCAUCUGAACCUGAUGCAACUGCGGCUCUUUCAAAACUAAAGAAGCAGCGGCAGGUGUGUAGAAUGGCUACAACCUUUUUCUUUUUUCAGCUAGGCAGGGAGAAGAUGCGUAUUUUAUGUUCUAUGUGCCCUUAUUUUGAUGAGCAGGAAGUUGAAAGUAAGGCUAGAAAACAGUUUAAAGGGCUGUUUGACAAGAAGCCUGGGCAAAUUUCUGAAGUAGGUAUUGAAAAUCAAGGCGAAGAUCAAGCUGCAGGCAAAAAUGAGAAUGAUGGUAGUGAACAGGAGUCAGAUGGAGUUGAGGCGCAGGAAUUUCAUGAAGCUGCUGCUGAAGCCCCUCGAAAGGGCUGGUUCUACCGCUUUUGGCCUACCAGUGGAAGACUAUUUUCUGCUCUUGGACUUGAUAGAUGUACCAUAUUAUGACAUAAAAUAUCAAAGAUAGGCAUCUAACUUAUCAAGGUUCGAUCUAAUUUAUUCGCCUCAGAGCAUAUAACCAAGUUGGCUGUUGGCUGAGGAAGGAAUAAGGUGGCAUUGUAACAUUUUGAUGUAAACUGAGAAAUAAAGUAAAAGGAAAAUAUUUGUUCUUGACAUUCCUCUUUUUUUUUUUUUCCCAAAAAAAAGAAAAAAAGAAUUGUUAAACAAAGGAACACCAUUUAUUUCCUCUGCGACAAAGUACUUUUACAUGGGGAAAUUGAAUGCUGCUGUAUGCAUCGAAUGCCCUGAACUCCUAAGCAGCCACUUUUUUUUUUAUCGUUAAAAGAAGUACAGUUGCAUUGUUCAUUCAUUUGAUUCUUUCAAUAUAAUGGAGCAUUUGCUGAUCACAUAGGAGUAUACCAUGCAUCAAACUUUAGAGCUGAUGCCGGCAGAGGGCACUGCUGAAUCAGCUCGGUUAGCCGCGGCAAGAGCCCGGGCCUUGACUAGCAAGAAUCCCGCCCCAUGACCAGCAACGGCGACUAUGAACACGCCAAGAUUAAAGGACAUGACAGAAAGCAUGACCAUGUAAGCUAAAGCCAUCCUAACAACAUAAACGCAAGCUUGAAUCAACAGGGCAGCCAUCGAGCUGCUUCCAACAAGCUGCGGAGAGAUGGACAAGACUUCAACAGCAAAGCCUAGCAAGAACACAAAGAUUAGAGCCAGUAUGUACAUGCCGAGACUCCUUUCAGGCCAACCUGAGAACAAAACGAGGACAUCUUUGCCCCAGUAGAAGGUCAUGUGCAUCAUCAUACCCAUAUCCAUUGAUGUUGAGUUCAUGCUUCCAUCCGGCAUUGAUGAUCCUGGAGGCAUGUACAUGCCACCAUCGUGAUCAUGAUCAUAGAACAUUUUUCCUUUUUCCUGAGAAAAGAGAGAGAAUUGGGAGAGUAACUCGAGAUGAAAUGGUUUAUUGGGUGUAUCUAAAUUAAAUAGAAGAGCAGAAACAUAGGAGAAAACAUUGGAAGGAGAUAACGCCGAGGACUGAGAGACAAAACAAGAGAGACACUGUUUGACAUUGCUUGAAUUUUAAAUUAGUUUCACGCUUGUCACAACAUUGGUGCUUGAGUCGGCAAUAAAAGUAGAAAAUGCCGUACAGCUCACCAUGCAUGCUUUGCUACGAUGGCUUGAAAGCUCGACUUAGUGUAAUCAAACACAUUUAUAAAUAAGAAAAAAACAGUCUGAUAAUUAACCAUAUCAUUGUUUUUUUAAUAAUAAAUCUAAAGAACGUCGUCAUUGAACAAAAAAAAGUUUUGUAUUAAGGAACAGCGUCCAAUGGAUGCAAUGAAAACGAUCACGAAAACUAUGAUUAUAUAUAUCAUAUUAAAAUUGGGUCAUUAUUAGUUUGCCGAUCCAUCUACGGGCGGUGUUGUUUGAUGGAGAUGUAAAUUUGUCAACGAAGGGUUACCAUAUAUAUAUAUAUGUGUGUGUGUGUGUAUGUUGCCCACGAUUGUCUUAAUAAAAAUUACAAAAUUUUAUUAUGGCAGUCGAAUGACGAUAACAUAGAAAAGGGCAGAAUCAUUUAAUGCAAUCAAUUUUUCUUCUUUUUUUUUUUUUUUUUUUUUAGGGAUACCGCAUAGGUUGUGGCCUGAGUGCCUCUUUAAAGUAUUUGCUCUGAAGCCUCAUAUGUACAUAUGGUAGUUGUCUUCACAUUUUAAGAUAAUUUUUAUCAUCUUUUCCUCUUCUCUUCCUCCCGCAUUCCAAGUUUUGUCACCAGCAUCCGCUAAAAGGUAAAAGUGGAAAUAUGAAAUCGAUAAAAAUAAGCUUAUAUUAAGGCAAUUUUAAUGGUCAAAUACUGGCUCCUUAUUUCACCGUGAAAACGUUGCAAUUGAUUAUUAAUUGUGCAAAUUACUUCUUUAUUAUUGAUGAAAAGAAGGGUUAAAUUGAUUACACAUUAAUUGUGCGAACAACUACUAUAUUAUUGUUGUCGUUUCAAUUUUUAAAAGUAAAAAUUCUUUUUAUUGUAAUUCUAAACUGUAAGUGGGCCUGAAAAGAAGCCCAAUCAAGGCUUGUGAAAAUUGGCAGAUGAAGCCCAAGCAGCAAAUAGUGUUGUUUGUGAACUGACCGUCUCUGUACUACAAAUCUUACAUAUUACAUCAUGUACGUGCUUUAUAUUCCAAGAAGAAAAUAAUUAAGCAUAUGUUCGACCCAAAAUAUGUUCAAUAACAUACAAUUUAAAAAUAAUAAUAAUGAAAAACGAAAAAACACAUGUUUAAGCAUAAUCAAGGGAAAAUAUAAUUUAAAACUGAUUUAUUGGUCUUUAAAAUUUGAAGCACAGCGGAUCACUGAUUUUCUUUCAAGACUUUUUUUUUUUUUUUCCUUAUAAUCCCAAAUCCUCUCGUCUUCCAUUUGAAUUUCAAGCAUUAAAAAAACAAAGAACUGGAAAAGAACAAUAAUAAUAUAAAAAAAAAAGCAUGUUCAAGCGGGGGUUAAGUCUAAGACAUUAAUCGUCACUUAGGAGGAAGAAGAUCCGAAUCCUUAUGAGAAUCCGAAUCCGACCUACCGGACUUAUUAAAGACCACCCGACUGCCAAAGAGCAAGUACCCAACAGCAUGCCCGACGACAGCAGCAAUAAAAAUGCCACCAUUAAACGACAUGACGGCAAGCACGACCAUGUAAGCCAGCCCGACACGCACACCGUGCAACCCAGUCUUGAACAACCCAGCUGCCACGCGGCUAGCCCCCGGCUUCACAAUAUUGUAGUGACUUAGCCACUCAACAAUCACAGCCAGCGAAAAUACAAAUACCAAGGCCAGUACGUACAUGCCGGUGCUCGAACCCGGCCACCCGGGGAACAAAACCUGCGUGUUGUGGCCCCAGAAGAACGUCAUGUGCGCAAUCCUUUUGCGGUGAACGUGCAACCCCGUUGUGUUCCACGCCUCCGUUGUUACGGGCCUCACUGUAUGGUGACGUGAAGCCAUCGCUAUCGUGGUAUCUCGUGUUCUUAGUGAUAAUUAUCUGUUUUGUGUUUGAUGUUACACUACGUAUUCUUGAUAAGGACAGACAGGGGGCUGUUUUGUCUUUUAAGAAUUUGAUGAAGAAAGAUUUGUUCGAUCGCUUUACUGCCACGCUCUUUUUAAGGGAGAGUUGUAGUAUGAUGUGUAUAACUUACUUUCCAGGUUUUGUAUCACCGCACUUUCGGUUCUUGUUCUUGAAGUUUGCUUGCUGUCGUGGUGUUGUCUUUCUCCGGGUACAGGCUUUUAAAGCGGCGAAUAAUACUUUUUGGUUUGUCAAGAACCAUGUACGUGUUACAGGGACGCGUGUGAUUGGAAUUUUGUUUGUUCUCAAAUGUGCCAUGAUUCGUUUCCAAGUAAUUCCCCGAGGGAAAGUGAACUGAGCAGAAUAUUUAACGCAUGCAACUGGCAUUUUUGCGGGCCUACACAGAAGGAGUAUGAACAAGCCCCACGCAAGAAAUUCGGCGUCGAAUAUUUGUUCGAUUGCUGGGCUCGGAGCUCGUAUUUAUUGUUCAAGUCUCCUUUAUUUCUUUGGGCUCGUAGGUGAAGCCAGUACUUGGACCGAAAACGUACGUAAAAUGGUUAAAUUCUAGAACAAUAAAUGAAUUCAGACUGAAGACUGAAUGUCAAUCAUUUUGUAUUUUUGUAUUUUUGUAUUUGAAAUUAUCGAAUAUUAAGGGUGUGUGUUAGUUAAUUUAUAGUCGUGUUAAAUAUUUAGAAUGCUGAGAGAAACGGCAGCCUAUGCUGCCAUUUCGCUUCGCUCCCUUUCUCAGCGUUUUAGAUAUUUUUUAUUGUUAAAACUUUUUUUAAAAAAUUCAAAAUGACAAAAAAAUUGAAUAUGUUUACAUGCAUCACUCUCUCUUUGUCUUGACUUUAUGCUCACUCUCUCCGGACCAUCGCUCCUUAUCACGCUUCCUCACACUCUCUCUGACCUCUCUCUUAGGCUCCCCAUCACAUUUCCUCACUCUCUCCAGCUCCCCAUUACGCUUCCUCACUCUCUCCAGCUACCAAACAUGGAAGCGUCGCUCGUUUUAGAUAGCAGAACCCAACCGCCGCCCAUUUAUGGUCAGUGAUUAAAGAAAAUGAAAAAAAAUAUUUGUUUAUUGUACGUUCUUGGAUUAAUUUUGUAAAUUUUGGUGGUAAUUAUUUGAUGAUAAAGAUGAAUUUUUGGUUUGGAAUAUUAAUUAUGUGAAUAUUGCUGGAUUUUUUGUUUGGAGUAUUAAUUGUGUAAAAAUUGUUAUGAAAAUUGCUGGACUUUUCGUUUGGAGUAUUAAUUGUGUGAAAAUUGCUAUGAAAAUUACUGUAUUUUUCAUUUGAAAUAUUGAAUGUUUGAAAAUUUAUGUGAAAAUUAUUGGAUUUUGAUUCAAUGUGAUGUAGAAAUAUGAGUUGGGUGAAAAUUUUAUUGAUUUGUUUAGAAAAUGUCUAUAGGGUUAAUCAUUUCAUUUCUCUUUUAUCUAACUGCAAUAUCUACUUACACCAACUCUUAAUGUUCAUCUAGCACAUGUACCCUUAUAAAUGAGCACUAACCCUCAUAGCUUGGUAUGAAAUUAUGAAUUCAAAAAUUGAAUUUGGUAUUCAAUAUGUAGAAUUUUUGUCUUUAAUGUUUUGUAUGAGGAGUAGUUUUAGGGUAGAUGAACACAAAUGAAGAUAUUUAGUGCAGUUGGCAAUGAGCCCAGCUUGAAUUAGACACUUCGAUCAAGUGGCUUGCCACUAGCUUUGCCAUUAUUAGAUUCUUUCAAUCCUCUGCUUGAUUAGGAAAUUCAAAACCAUUAACAGAGUUUACUUAGGAGCUGAUGACACCAUUACAACUUACAAAAAGCAAAGCAAAAAAAAAAUGACAAUUUUGCCUCAAUCACCAAAACCCUUCAUGUAUUGACCUUCUACUCUAUCAUUCUCCAUAAAAAAAUAUGUGUGCACUGCAUAUAUCUUCAAUGUGAACUAAAUCAAUUGACCCCGUUCUGUCAUUUACAGAAGACAAUAUUGAAAAGAACUUAGAGUCACCUAAGGAAGUAGCCAAUUUGCGAGUUAUAAUACUUUCUUUAUUUCAUGUGCAUGUGUGCAUCCAUAGACCUGUUACUAGUAGGUUAUUUAUUACACAUGUUGAAAAUAUAUUAUAAGCAGAAUUAUUUCAACCAAAUUUUUUUCUAUGCAUUUUAUGACUAAGGGAAGAGUUUGAUGUAUUAUAAGCAGAAUUAAUUAUUGAUACCUAGCAACACUUUAUUUUAUACUUUGUCUAAUGUGAACUCUAAAUUUUGUUUGAACUCUUUUUUUUUUGGCAAUUAAAGUAGUCUAUUAAUGGUAAUAUCAUCCACCACAAAUGAAACUCAAAAUUCAUUGCAAAUAUGUAACAAAUAUGGUGACCAAAUGGAGUUGUUAACGUCACGUAUUACAAAGAAUCUAAAUCGCAAAUUUUGGAAAUGUAGAGGAUGUAAAAACUUUCAAUGAGCAGAAGACGGUAAAAUCUCGUAAAGAGAAAAUUGACUUGUUAGUAGAGGAAGUUAGGAAGUUAGGAAGUUGACAUUGGAGAUUGAGUAUUUGUCUAUUAAAUUUCAAUUGUUACAUAAAAAAAAAAUUGAGCAUAUGCAACAAUGUGAAGUACAUAGACGAUUGUUUGACAAUGAACUUCGAAGGAGACAGACAUCAUAAUAUGAUUUCAUUAGAAUACUUUUGAUUGUUAUAUUAUGCUUUAUAUUCAAGUUUUAUUUUUAAGUUGUUUCAAUUUAUAUUAUCUAUUGGAAAAAAAACAUGUAGACAUAUAUAACAAUAUUUUCCCUCAAAAUAUAAGACUUUGAGUUGUUUCACUUUAUUGAGUUUGAAAUUAGAUUCAAAUUAUUGUGGAUGCCAAAAUAGCAUACAAUGAGUACAAGCACAUUGAAAUUGCAAUGAUUUAUUCCAUUGAAAAUUAUCAAAAAAGCCACCAGACCAACAAAAAUUAUUGGAAAAAAAAAACAAUAGGGAAAUUAAUCAUUACUAUAAUUAGUUGUUUUAAGCCAAAUCUAAGUGAAAUAAUAGAGAAAAUAAUCUGAAUAGAAUACAAGUCAAACAUCGAUCACAUCAAUUGUUGUCUUUAUUACAUUGUUGAUGUAGUAAUUAUUGGAAAUUACCACUUCUAGAUCUUUUAUAAGUCAUCAAAGGAGAAAAAUAACGUAAUUGCAAAGCAUACGGUGGGACUAGCUGCUAUAAUACCCAAAAAAUUAAAACAUUAUAUUACAUUUUAGUUAUUUAAAAAUACAAGUAUAUACUAAGAAACUGUAAUUUUAAGACAACAACUUAUGCUGUGUUUAUUUGCUGGAGUGGGAGUGAGGAGUGUGGAUUCCUCCCACUCCAGUGUUUACUUCCUCUAAAUAGGAAGAGAGUGGGAAUCCCACUCCGUGGGCCCCACCCAUUUUUGGAGUGGGGAGUGGGAGUGGGACUCCCAAUUCCCACUCCCACCUCCCCCCUUUUUUACCCUUUUAUUUUUUUUAAUUUAAUUUAAUUUAAUAUUUUAUAAUUAAUAAAAUAAAAUAAAUAUUAUUAUAUUUAUUUGAAUAAUAUUAUUAUAUUUAACUAAAUCACUCAUCAGUACAGCUGCUGGCCACACACCAAAUAAUUUAUUGUUCAUAAUUAAGAAUAUUAAUAAUUAUAAUAAAUUUACAAAUAUAAUAAAAUAAAUAUUAUUCAUUAAAUAUAUUUUUUAUUAGUUUUGUAAUUAAAAACUAUAAUUCUUUAAAUAAGGAUAAAAUUGUAAUUUGAAACUAUUUACUUCCAAUCCAAGACAAAGUAAACACAUAAAUUGGAUUCUAAUCUCUAUUCCAUGCUUCCAUUCUAAUGUAAGUAAACAACCUACUCCCACUCCCACUCCACACUCCCAAUUCUAGGAUUCCCAAUCCUAGGAUUCCCACUCCUAGGAUUCCCACUCCUCAGGAUUCCCAAUCCAAUCCAAAAAGUAAACGCUACCUUAUUGUGUGCUAAUAAAAGGAAAUGACUGAUAAAUAUUAUGUAAUAUUAUGUACACCAACUUAGGUUGGGUAUAUAGGUACAUAGGCAAAUAAGAUAUAAUUAAAAUUUCUUCACGAAUUUAAUUCUUAUUUUUAUAAUAGCCUAAAGUCUCGUAUUAAUUGAGAUUGGCAUUAACAAUACUUUCUUUCUGUAACGUCUACAUAUGUUUAAUAAUAUACUUAGUUACGUAUCUUUAAAAUAAAAGAAAAGUGUAAUACAAAAAUUCACAAACUUACCAUGGCCACGUUGCUUUGUUGUGUAGAGAUUUCAUUAGGUACUUCAUAAGAUGAUGGCACAUCUUCUUGUAAAUCCUGUAAAAUUAUAACAAAAAAUUAAACGAAGAACAAAUGAAAUUACAUAUAUAUAUAUUUCAGUAAACGUUUUUUUGUGUAGUCUUCUUCUUUUGGACUAUGAAUUACAGAUUGUUUUCUUAGAUAAAGAAGACGACCAUUACGAUGUGAUACUAUUAGAUUAUUGGUUACAUGUUCAAUAGUAUUGCUUUUGCAACUUACUUCAUCUCUAAUAGUUGUUGGUGAAACAAUUGUUUCGACACUUACACAUCGAAUUGCUUGGGUAGAUCUUUCAGUGCCUUAUUAAUCCAAUCCAAUACAAAUUUAUAACUAUUUUCGUCAUCAAUAGGUAUGUUUGCAACCUUACUAAAAUCAAUAGACAUUUUGUCAUAUCUCUUCUACUAACUAGAGAAAUGAUGCACAUCAUGACUAACUUUGACCUUAUUAUAGGAUCUCUUCACAUCUUUCCUCCAUUAUAAUAAAAUGUACAUUUUUUAAAACAAUUCAACAUUGUUAUGUAUCAACACUGCAAGGGCAUGUCUACAAAAAAUCCCCGUAAACUAAAACUUUGAAUAAAUACAACUAACUCCACACUCGGUUUCUUCAAGAAUAACCUCAAAGCUUUUUUUCUUACAUUUCUCAUAAGAUUCACUGAUUUCAUAAAUUUAUCCCAUAUAAUUAACUAUAUCAUAAUAUAUAAGUGCAGUUAAUUCUUGCUGAAAUUCGUUAAACUUAGAAAUAGUGUACACCUCUUCAAAUUGCUUAUCCAUUUUAUAUCUUAUCACCCAUAAGGUUUUUUUUUGUUGAAACACUUUGCAUCUGCUUGUCAUUCUAAUUCAACUUUCUUUCUUAACGUAUUUUCAUAUUGCUUCACAAACAGCUUUAAAUUUGUUUUGGAGUUAACAAACUGAACAAAAAAUGUAUUUAUACUUUCACUUCGCUGAGUUGUUGACUUUCCUCCUUAAAAAUGGUCUUUCAAAUAAUAUGGAACCUAAUUGUGCCACUUUUAUAUAAACCAUUUAAUUAAUCAUUAUCUCACAAAUCAUAUAUUGUAAUCAUGUCAUGCCAAGUUUUCUCAAACACAGCAGGGUUCAAUGAAUCAUAAAUAACAAAAAGCAAUGAAGAAAUAAUAUCUUCACGUUUUUUAAAAACCACUAACUUCUCAAGUAUCUUUUUCAUUAUAUGCCACAAACAUCAUUGAUGCAUAGUCGUAGGAAAAGCAUUCUCAAUUACCUUUUGUGUUGCUUUGUCUUGGUCUAUAAUGAUUCUAAUGGAGAACCUAACAUACAUGAUAGUCAUGCCUCAAAUAACCACAUAAAUAUCUCGAUAUUCUCGUGUGAAAUCAAUCUGCUUCCUAAUAAAAUAGACUGGUCAUGAUGAUUAACUCCGACAAAAUGAGCGAAUGACAUGUCAUACUUGUUGGUAAGAUAUAUGGUAUCAAAUGUGAUGACGUCUCCAAAAUAUUUGUAAGCUGCUCUACUUUUUGGAUCUACGUGAAAUACAUUUUUAACCGAUCCUACUUAUCCAAAUCAACACUAAAAAAAAAAAAAAAACACUUGCAUUUUGCUUGCUCUUUCUAAUAGUGCUUGAAAAUUGCCAUAACAUCUAUUUCUCUAAGUUGUAAUUUUCUAACUUUGUCAACAAGAUUUCUAUACUCUUUUUUUAGAAAUGAGACAUUUUAAUGUCCACCAACUUAUGUUAAUAUGAAUAUAUCUAUUGAUUUUGAUGAUAACAAACAUGAUCAAGAUUGAUUAAGUUUUUGAAAGUUCAAACGAUUUUCAUACAUUUUUUAAUAAAUCAUUAGUUUGGUAUAAUAAUGGUUUUUAUUCUUAAAUGAAAAUGAUUUAAUAAAAUUAGUUGUUUUUUUUUGAAAGACCAUGAUCUAAAUAAAAAUUAGCUUCUGGACACAGUCGACGAACCGACUUCAUGAUAACGGCUAACCGACAUUGAACAUACUUGAUAAUUAGCUUCUGGACCCUGUCGACAAUCCGACAUUUUGAUAACGGCUAAUCGACAUCAAAUAGAAUUGAAAAUUAGCCUCUGAACACUAUCGGCGAUCCGACAUCUUGAUAAUGGCUAAUCGACAUCGAACAUAAUUGAAGUUUAGCCUCUGGACACUAACAACAAACCGACUUCUUGAAAACGGUAAGCUGACAUUUUCUUUACAGGUCAUUGGAUGAUAAUGGCGAUCCAGGAUUUCAAUAACAGUGAUUCGAUAAUUUGAAAAUAUGUCCAAUGGUAACUUACUCAAGUCAAAACGGCAAUAUGACUUCUAGUUAACGGCGAUCCGACUUCGAGCAAAUUGUCUGUAACAGCUAGUUUUUAACUCAAACUACAACAACGAUUCCAACUAUUAUUAUUGAGCAUGCAACUUUCAUUGAGCUUUAAAUUCUUAUAUACAUCUCAUUUACCCACACUUUAAAAUUCCAUUUGUAAUCAAACACAUUGUCUGUGAGAGAUUUAUUUUGUAAUCUUUUUGAAAAUCAAAUUGAGAGAUUGUAAGUGUUGGGAUACACUUGGGUUAAGAGAUUGAGGAUAAUCUCUUGUUGUAAAUGUUUAUUGACACAUUGGAAGUCAAUUGUAAGAGUGGUUGAAGCCUUGGAGGUAUGCUUAGUGGAAUCCUCAUGUCUGGUGAGCUUGGAGGCAUGGACGCAGGCACGGUUAGCCGAACCACGUAAAAAUCACGUGUUUGAUCUCUCCUCCCUUACUCUUUUACUAUUGCGCUUGAUUAAAUUUAUUGUUUUUGUUUUUAUUAGGGCAAUAGAUUGAAUUGUUGUGUGGUUUGCUUUGCAUAAGUUUUUAAAAUCUCAAUUCACCCCCCCUCUUGGGUUGCCUACUUAUUAUUUCAGCUUCAACAAUAAUAGAAUUAAAAUUUUAGCAAUGUUAAUUCCUGCACAAUCAUUCAUGUAAUACGUUUUUUUGCACUUGCACUAAUGCUAUGAUUACAAGGAAAAUACCUAGCCUUAUGAUUGUGCUGAAGGUUUAAAGUUCGAAGAACCCAUGUUCUAUCUUCAUUUACACAACCUCCAAUUCUACCAUCACAACCAAAUUUUACAAUAUAUUUUGACUUCAACACAUUAGUAGAUUUACUUUCCGACUUGCCGCUGGCCACAUGCAAAUGUCAUAUAUUUUACAAUUCCAUCACUCAUUUUCUUACUAGUUAGUUUCUUCACAAGAAACCCUUCUUUUUUACCAUAGGUUUUAUGAAACGCCUAUAUUUCCUCGUGACUAUCAAAUAAUAUCUCACGAGUUGACACAUAUUUUUUUAUUGCACAUCUUCGACUCCAGCCUCAUUUUUAAAAUUUUUAUUUCUACAAAAUAAUUAACAUUUGUAUUGAUAAUAAAUUAUUAUAAAUUUUUGCAAAAUUUUGGUCCAACAAAAAUUGAAUCCAUUAAGUUUCUAAAAAUUUAAAUUUAAAAAAUUUCUAAAUCAAACAAAAUUAUCAUUAUCAUUUAACUAGUAAACUGAUUCCAGGAGUAUUAAGCAAAAUGUAGGUACAUUUCUAUUAAUAUUGAUAUAAUAGAAAAUAAUAUUCAAAAUAAAAAAUCACUCUUUAUAAUCAAGUAAUUACCAUCUUUCUGUUUUGUUUCCAAAUCUAGAUCGGGCAGUACUUCCGUGUUUGGGAGAAUUUGUGUAGAGUUUUGGUAGCUGGAUAGAGUGAGGAAGCCUGAAGCGUGAUGUUGGUAGUGGUAGCUGCAGGAGAGAAAGUGAGGAUGAGUACAUAAGUGAGUGAGGAUGAGUUUACUUCCUCACUGUUGAGAGAGAGAAUAUUCAUGUGAGAGAGAGAGAGAGAGCUACAUGUUUCUUCUAUCAUUUUCUACAUUUUUUUUAAUAUUUUCAACAAUAUAGAAUUAUUACAAUGUCGAGAGAGAGAGUGAUGCACGUGAAUAGAUUCAACUUUUUAUCAUUUUUCACUUUAUUUUAUAUUUUUUUAACAAUAAAAAAGUGUAGAAUGUUGAGGGAGGGAGAAAAAUAAAACGGCAGCACAAAUUGUUGUUUUUCUCAACCAUCUCUCAAUUUUUUAAACAAUGACCAUUUUUCUAAUUUAUAACACUAUCUCUUAAAAGUAAUACAAGAAAUAUGAGGUUUGAACUCUGCUUAGUCAUGUCGAAGUUAAAGAGACAUCAAAUUAAAAGAAUGUUGUGAAAUUUAUCCUUUAAAAUAAGAAUAAAACUGAAGCAACACUACAAAAGAAAGCAAAGUGGCAUGACAAGCAUAAAAUAGAAUUACAUUAUGCGACUUAAAGACUACAAUAUUAAUAUAGCUAUCGGCACGUGUUAGGAAUUGCAAGCAACGGGCUAAAUUUAUAAUUUGAUUAAUUUGUGAUAUAAUUUAUUAUAGAAAAUCUUUGUAGUUCGUAUAGGACCCAUUUAUAGAUCAAUUAAUAAUUUACUAAUAUGCAACUAGAUCUGUUAGAUUUAUGUUUAGUUUAAUUAAGUGCAAAUGAUGGCUUACUGUUUAUGAAUCGUGGACAUUGGACAAUAUAUAUACUUAUACAAGUAUGAAAGCUUCUAGCCUAGCUAUGAACAGAUUUUGCUUACGUAUCUGUGUACUAAAUAUUUACAUGCCAAUAAAAUAAAGACAAUUGAUAUUGACAUGGAUCAUUUACUAUAGUUUAAAACACGUCGAAUCCUUUGGUAAUAGCGUUACUGGCAUCAAGACUAACUAAAUCACAUGACAUUUCAUGUUGAUUUGUUUGAUUGUUGUGUUUGAGAUAUUUUGAUAAAAAAAAAAAAGAAACGAAAAGAGAGAAUAUAUUCACAAAUUAAUAAUAUUGUUACUAUUUAAAUUAAUAAUAUUCACCCAAGGGUCUUCGUUAUGGAUUAGCUGCUCAUCUUCACACUCAUCUGAUUUCAAGCCCUAAGAUUAGAAAACUUAGAAAGAAAAAAGAAAAGAAAUAAACCAAACAAAUAAAAAUUAAACGGUGCUUUUGGUAUUAAAUAAAAAAUUAUUGAUAAAGGGCUUUCAUAAGAAUUUUAGAUGGGUGUUAAAAAGCUCUCCUAAACUAUUUUAUGGGAUAAUAUUAAUCAUAAUCCAAAUAUGUGAAUGAUAAUCCACACAAGUCCGGCCCGUAUUUACUUAGUUAUAACUUUUAACGCACCAAGUCGCAAUAUGUAUUUGUAAUUUUGUAUUUGUAGUGGAUUAGCUUUGUUCAUGCACAUCUUAUCCUGUGGCGAUUCCACUUUUCAAAAUGGCUGAGAAUAUGGUACCAUCAGUUAAGAUCACAUUUUCUUUUCUCAUCUAAACAGUAGGAGACACGAUAUCAGUAAACCUUGAAUUAUCAAACAAAUUGCAAAAGUAUCAAUACUCAUUACAAAUUGUAAGACAAUAUAAUGAUAAAAAAUUUCAGUUAGUCCUUGAAAAUAGAGAUGAGAGUAAGACAAUAACCUCAAUCCUGUUCGUGACCUCAAUUUGUGAUGUGUCAUAGACAAAGCAAACAUGAAAAAUCGAAAAGCUGGUGAGUAAAAAUUAGCAUCAACAGGUUUAGAAUAUAAAUAGUAAGCUGUACUGACGUGACGGGUCAUUAUUUAUUAUAAUAUAUGCAUGGUUUCAUUAGCAAACUGUUCUUGCAAAACACAAACACAGACACAGUUACUUGUAUAGUACAAAUCUUUAUUUGUAAAUUAAUUAGCCAGUGAUACAUGCCUAUAUAGUUUAGCUUUGUUCAGACGCCGGUAAUUUUGAUGCUUCUGGAAUGACCAUGAUGCUUCUUAAUAUCCUUUUUGGGAACGGUGACAGUGAGCGUUGAAUUCGCUAUAUGAGCAGUUAUUCUAUCAACCAUGGCGUUUUCAGGUAACUGAAAACGUCUAGAGAACUUGCCGACGGCAACCUCCAGGCGGUGACCCUCAUCCGUCCUCUCUUCUUUCUCAAUCUUCUGCUCCCCGCUUAUGCAGAGGACUCUCCCGUCUUCGAUUUCCACCUUCACAUCGUGCUUGUGAAACCCUGAGAGAUCAGCUUUGAACACGUGGCAUUCCGGGGUGUCAUGCCAGUCAAUCCGAGUUGGAAUCAUCAUCGGCGGCGAAAACUGAUGAACGUGCUGGAACUGGCCGCCGUUCCACAUGUCAUCGGAUAAGGGAAACGGAGGAUGAUGGUAUCCUACAGCACCAGCGAAUCUGCUACGGGAAAUCUGAGACAUAUUGUUGUUUUGUAAAUUAAUUAAUUUUUUUAUGUAUGCUGUGGAAGGGAAAUGGUGAAGCUAUACUUAUAGCCAGGGAAUUUAUACAAAGUAUGGUGUUUCUUGGCAUCAGUGAAAGGAAGCAUAUGAUAAAUCGUAUAAGAAUGAAGAAUUGGACCAGCUUAGAUUUUAGAUUUGCGCUGGGACUAGUCCUUGUCAGAAUAUAUGCACACUAAUCUUUUAAAUGUUGAGCAAUAGAUAAGACAUGCACUACCGUUUUAUUAUUAUUAUUAUUAUUAUUAUUAUUUUAAAUAUGGCUACUAUCACUAUAGAAAAAAAAGAUCUAUCCUUUUUAAUUGGAAUUUGGAUAGGAAAAGUAAUAGAUACCACCUGCAGCGGGCUUAUCAUUACCAAAUUUACAUCCGCAAAAAAAUUAUCGAACCCACAUAUAACUCGUUGUGGAUUUUUAGUUUUUUUCAAAAAUUCUCCUAGUGCAGAUUUUAAUAAUUACCAAAUCUACCUACAAUCCAUAAUAGGUUUUGCUUAUAACCUGCAGUGGCAGUAAUAGCUAUAUAUUUAUUUCAGAUCAUAACACCACAUCUAGAUUCAUAAUACCAUAUUCAAAAAAUUAGAUUUAUCAAAUAUUUCUAUAAAAAAUAGCUUUACUAUUGCAUACAAAUAUACAAUUAACUCUACACUAAAAGUUAUCUGUAUGCUUGAGCUUCUUAUUAGAUUAGUCGCCAAAUAUAUGCAUACGUACUGUGAAAAAGAAUGAUGUAAAUCAAGCUAGCGAUAGCAAUUGUGCAUUUUUAUAAUUAAAUAUUUUAGUGAUUAAGAAGAUUAAGUUAAGUCUUGAGUAACAAAUGACUCUCAUUAACUUAGUUUAUAACUUUUAUAAUAAAAUAUUUUUAAAUGUGACUUUAAUAAUUAAAAUAAAAUUGCAGGUCGGUAGAUACCCGCCAGACUUUUUGUUAAUACCAAACCCACUUACAACUCGUAAUGGAUUUAAAUUUGUAAUAUGAAAUCCACUAGCGACCCGUAAAAUUACCCGCAGUAGUGGGUUUUUAAUGGGCGAAUUUUGAAGAAUUUACUAGUUUGUGAAUAUUGUUGCAAUUCCUAAAUAUGGGCUAAGUCAAAAUUGGCAGCCACCCUAAAAAGGCACAUGGUAAUGUUUUUUAAUUACGCUCUAUAUGCAGAUUUCCCAUAAAAGUAUAUAUAUCAGACCUUGUUCAUCCAGAUUUAGAUGUGGAUGCUGGUAGAUGUUCGGACGUAAUUUUGUCAUUUUGUGUAUAAAAUAAAAAGUGAUGGUAUUUGAACAGCGGAAAUCUUGACUCUUAAUGGGCCUAGGCCUCUUUCUAAUAUGGAUCAAAACUCAGCAAAGGCCACCCAAUUGAAUCUUCAAACCUAGAAUGGUUUUAAUGUCUGGGUUUAAUCAAUUAUUGGCCCUGAGCCUAGAGCAAGGCCAGCCCAUAUGCUAGAACCCGUACAAAUUUCCAAUGAUUAAGCUUUUGAAAUCAAGCUCAAUUAAUUAUAAAGCCACUGCCACGCAAGAAGAAGAUGGGGGAAGGUUAUAGAGGCAACAAGACACGUCCAGAAAUGACCAAGAUCAACCCCGAAACUUCAAGAGCUCACCGCCUAAUUCCCUAUAAAUAGCAACCCAUGAGCUCCGCUCACUUCAUCAGUAAAGAGUGAAGACCCAAUAGAUAAAUAAGCAAACGAUUUCGAAGAAAGUGCUCGUCGCUUUGAUUAAGCAAAAAUGUCUUUGAUUCCAUCUAUAUUCGGAAACAGGAGCGUGUUCGACCCAUUUUCCUCGGACGUUUGGGCGCCCCUUGGCUCCUCCAGCAAUGAGGUGUCAACAUUUGCCAGUGCUCAAGUCGAUUGGAAAGAAACCCCGGAAGCUCAUGUUUUCAAGGCGGAUCUUCCGGGGCUCAAGAAAGAGGAAGUGAAGGUUGAAGUUGAGGACGGGAGAGUCCUUCAGAUCAGCGGUGAGAGGAGCGUCGAGAAGGAAGACAAGAACGACAAAUGGCGGCGUGUUGAGAGGGGCCGCGGCAAGUUCCUGAGGAGGUUCCGGUUGCCUGAGAAUGCCAAGAUCGAUCAAGUUAAGGCAUCAAUGGAGAAUGGUGUCCUCACCGUCACUGUUCCCAAAGUGGAGGAGAAGAAGCCUGAGGUCAAAUCCAUUCAGAUCACUGGUUGAAACUCUCCGUUAAUUGCAGCCUUUUUAAUUUGGUUCUUGUUUUGUUCUGUGUGUUAAUGAACGAUGUGCGAUUGCUGUUAAGUGUGUCGCAUACUUUUGUUCAUGUAAUGUGUUGUCGACUGCUUUUUUAAGUAAUUUUAAGUAAUAAAAAUAUGUUGUUUUCUUGGAAGGAGAAAUAUAUUAAUUAUUAAUUCAUGUAACCGGGGACUUAGCCAAUAUUUUGGUUGUCCAAAUAUUGUGAUAGUGCUUGUGGCAAGCUCUCAACGGAAGAUGUAUGGUGGUGAGCCUUACAAUCUGUAAAUAAGAGUUUGUCGUGGACUUCUUGUUCAAGUGCGCACACUUGAACACCCUUUGAAAGAUUAUUAGAUAACAAUAUAAAAUAUUGCGGCUAUAAUGUAAUUGAUAAUAAAUUUAUUUAUUAUAAAUUGUAUUCGUUUAUUAUAAAUCGUAUUCGUUCUUUCAUGUGA
rnacentral:lncRNA from 1 species